UACGUAGGGUGCAAGCGUUGUCCGGAAUUAUUGGGCGUAAAGAGCUCGUAGGCGGUUUGUCGCGUCUGCUGUGAAAACUCGGGGCUCAACCCCGAGCUUGCAGUGGGUACGGGCAGACUAGAGUGCGGUAGGGGAGACUGGAAUUCCUGGUGUAGCGGUGGAAUGCGCAGAUAUCAGGAAGAACACCUAUGGCGAAGGCAGCUCUCUGGGACGGUACUGACGCUGAGACGCGAAAGCGUGGGGAGCGAACAGG
rnacentral:rRNA from 1 species